rnacentral:rRNA from 1 species
CUCAAAGAUUAAGCCAUGCAWGUGGUUAUUUUUUAAUAACCCUAUCAGUUUAAAUAUACGCGCAAGCGUACAUGCAACUGCAGACAGCUGCUUAAUACAGUCACACUUGUCUUGACUCGGUUUAACUAAUUUACGAACAACGGAUAACUCAGGGAAAGUUUGGCUAAUACGUACGAACAAUUAUUAUUGCAUACAGUUACGCAUGAAUGAGAUUGUAUACGUGCGCGUGCUUGCACCGCACACGGCAGAUAUUGUGUAUUUAUAACACGAUACAUGUCAUACAAGCAUCUAUAGCAUCAAGUCACAGGGUUGGCAAGUGUAUUUUUGAACCUUCAAAGCAGUCACGCAUACGGAAGAGUAGUUUCUGAUCCCAUAGAAGGAGCACUGUACAUUGAGAGACCGCUCUUAGUUCUAAGGAACGCAGCAGGCGCGUAAAUUGCCCAAUAAUAGUACAAAAACACAGUGAACAUUUCUAGCUCUCAUAUAUCUAUUGAGGCAGUGAUAAGCUGUAACGGUUGAGUAUUAAUCUAAUUUGACGUGUAUCUGGCAUGCGUUAUACGUUUACGCGUAUAUUACUGCAUACGCCGAUACUAUGUGUGCUCAGUCUGGAAUGCGGUGAGUCUAAACAACUCAGAACCUACGUUUUUAUACGUGUAUCUGAAUUUUCAAGUGGAGGGCAAGUCUGGUGCCAGCAGCCGCGGUAAUACCAGCUCCACUGGCCUAUACAAUCAUUGUUGCGGUUAAGAGGCUCGUAGUUGGAUUGAACUAAAUAUUUUUAUUAUAUUUACAACACUGUGAUCAAAUCAGCAUGUAUCACGUAUGUAUUACUAAUACACGCAUUGUAUGUUUAUUCAUGGAAUGUUGCUCUGUAUUUUAUUAUACAAUUAUACGUCGAUGGGGAUAGUUGGAGUCAACAGUACUAGUAGGCGAGCGGUGAAAUGCAUUGACCCUACCAAGACUACCAAAAGCGAAAGCAGUUGUCUAGGCUAUAUUCUUUGUACUUGUACUAUAUACAUUAUUAUACAAUACACACACUUUACAAUGAAGAACGAAGGUUGGGGGAUCAAAGAGGAUCAGAUACCCUCGUCGUCCCAUUUUAUACAUCAAACGAUGGGUUCUCACUCGACCAAAAAUACAUAUCAAGACUUGCAGUACAUACUUCUGUACUCGUCUAUAUUACUGAUUUUCUAAGCUUUGCGCUCAAUUUUAUACGGUGAGAUGUAAGUAAUGGCUGUAUCUUUAUGAUGCAUGCUAUAUUAUGAUGCACGUAUUAGGCAUGCGCUUACUGCAGAAAUGUCUGAGAUAUUCCCCUCCGGGGGUAGUAUGCACGCAAGUGUGAAACUUGAAGGAAUUGACGGAAGGGCACCACAAGAACGCGCGGAGCAUGUGGCUUAAUUUGACUCAACGCGGGAAAUCUUACCGGGUCCGGACACACUGAGGAUUGACAGACAAACACAUUUAUGUGUUAUAAAGAUGCUAGUUCUUUCAUGAUUAUGUGAUAGGUGGUGCAUGGCCGUUCUUAGUUCGUGGAGUGAUCUGUCUGCUUAAUUGCGUUUCAAUAUUUUAUUACGUAUACGUAUGACCAACUUACCUUUACCGGUAUGUUUGUGUCUAGUAUGCUAUCAUUUGAAAGCAACGAACGUGACCGUAUCCUUUUAUUAUGUACGCACGCGUAUAUUUAUUUCAUUAAAGGGACCGCUGUUUCUUUCUUUAAACCAGAGGAAGGUUACGGCAAUAACAGGUCUGUGAUGCCCUUCGAUGUUCCGGGCUGCACACGUGCUACAAUGAUUACUUCAUUAAGUAUCUAAUCUUUAUGUAUCGUACCUCUGUGUAUGUUCAAAAUACCUACCCUGAGAAUGGGCGGGUAAUCAAUUAGAAGUAAUGAUUUCCUUUUUUUAAUACGCAACUAUGUACCGUAUAUUACAUCCCACAUAUUUUUAUAUAUGUGCGUGUGUGUUUUAUUACCGUGUACGCGUAACUGUUAAUUCAUGGUGGGGAUAGACCAUUGUUAAUUGUUGGUCUCGGUCUUAACUAGGAAUGCCUUGUACGGGUCAUUGGUUCAACAAACCACCCGGAAUGCGUCCCUGCCCUUUGUACACACCGCCCGUCGCUCUUACCGAUGAACUUCGCUAUGAAUCUAUUGGACUGUGCUCUCUUAUGAGUGCGGAAAGAUAUAUGAAUAGUGUGGUUUAAAGGAAAGAGAAGUCGUAACAAGGCAUCAGUAGGUGAACCUGCUGAUGGAUCAUUA